rnacentral:rRNA from 1 species
UACCAGCACCCCGAGUGGUCGGGACGAUUAUUGGGCCUAAAGCAUCCGUAGCCGGCCUUACAAGUCCUCCGUUAAAUCCAGCUGCUUAACAGAUGGGCUGCGGAGGAUACUAUAAGACUAGGAGGCAGGAGAGGCAAGCGGUACUCAGUGGGUAGGGGUAAAAUCCGUUGAUCCAUAGAAGACCACCAGUGGCGAAGGCGGCUUGCCAGAACGCGCUCGACGGUGAGGGAUGAAAGCUGGGGGAGCAAACCGG